CAGUCGAACGAAGCCUUCGGGCUUAGUGGCNCACGGGUGCGUAACGCGUGGGAAUCUGCCCUUGGGUUCGGAAUAACAGCGAGAAAUUGCUGCUAAUACCGGAUGAUGACGUAAGUCCAAAGAUUUAUCGCCCAAGGAUGAGCCCGCGUAGGAUUAGCUAGUUGGUGAGGUAAAGGCUCACCAAGGCGACGAUCCUUAGCUGGUCUGAGAGGAUGAUCAGCCACACUGGGACUGAGACACGGCCCAGACUCCUACGGGAGGCAGCAGUGGGGAAUAUUGGACAAUGGGCGAAAGCCUGAUCAAGCAAUGCCGCGUGAGUGAUGAAGGCCUUAGGGUUGUAAAGCUCUUUUACCCGGGAUGAUAAUGACAGUACCGGGAGAAUAAGCUCCGGCUAACUCCGUGCCAGCAGCCGCG
rnacentral:rRNA from 1 species